rnacentral:rRNA from 1 species
UACAGAGGUCUCAAGCGUUGUUCGGAUUCAUUGGGCGUAAAGGGUGCGUAGGCUGGCGCCGUAAGUCGGGUGUGAAAUUCGAGGCUUAACUCCGAAACUGCAUUCGAUACUGCGGUGCUUUGAGGACUGGAGAGGAGACUGGAAUUCAUGGUGUAGCAGUGAAAUGCGUAGAGAUCAUGAGGAAGACCAGUGGCGAAGGCGGGUCUCUGGACAGUUCCUGACACUGAGGCACGAAGGCCAGGGGAGCAAACGGG